rnacentral:rRNA from 1 species
AACGAACGCUGGCGGCAUGCCUAACACAUGCAAGUCGAACGAGACCUUCGGGUCUAGUGGCGCACGGGUGCGUAACGCGUGGGAACCUGCCCUUAGGUUCGGAAUAACUCCCCGAAAGGGGUGCUAAUACCGGAUAAUGUCUUCGGACCAAAGAUUUAUCGCCUUUGGAAGGGCCCGCGUUGGAUUAGCUAGUUGGUAGGGUAAAAGCCUACCAAGGCGACGAUCCAUAGCUGGUCUGAGAGGAUGAUCAGCCACACUGGGACUAAGACACGGCCCAGACUCCUACGGGAGGCAGCAGUGGGGAAUAUUGUACAAUGGGCGAGAGUCUGAUCCAGCAAUGCCGCGUGAGUGAUGAAGUCCUUAGGGUUGUAAAGCUCUUUUACCCGGGAUGAUAAUGACAGUACCGGGAGAAUAAGCUCCGGCUAACUCCGUG